rnacentral:rRNA from 1 species
CGGCCGAGCGGGUCCGUCGGGAAAUCCGCGUGCUCAACGCGCGGGCGUCCGGCGGAAACCACUCGGCUUGGGGCCGGAGGACUCGAGGGGUACGUCCGGGGUAGGAGUGAAAUCCCGUAAUCCUGGACGGACCGCCGAUGGCGAAAGCACCUCGAGAGGACGGACCCGACGGUGAGGGACGAAAGCCAGGGUCUCGAACCGGAUUAGAUACCCGGGUAGUCCUGGCCGUAAACGAUGUUCGCUAGGUGUGGCGUCGACUACGAGUCGGCGCUGUGCCGCAGGGAAGCCGCUAAGCGAACCGCCUGGGAA